CUCAGUUCGGAUUGGAGUCUGNAACCCGACUCCAUGAAGCUGGAUUCGCUAGUAAUCGCGCAUCAGCCACGGCGCGGUGAAUACGUUCCCGGGCCUUGUACACACCGCCCGUCAAGCCAUGGGAGCCGGGGGCGCCUGAAGUCCGGGACCGCGAGGACCGGCCUAGGGCGAAACUGGUGACUGGGGCUAAGUCGUAACAAGGUACC
rnacentral:rRNA from 1 species